UGUCAGCGAGGAGCCAGGGUGCAGCUGGAUGCAGUCGUAGCCUCAGAUUUUGUCCAUAGUUUAUGUUUAAAGGAUUGCAGGUGUAACUGUAGGGUUGUAGGAUAAUAGGUGUAAUUGAACCUUUCUACAACUGUGUUCCAUAGGAUGAAGGAUAUAUUUAUAGAAAAUAAAGUGAUUUAUAGAAAAAUAAAAUGAUCAUGAUUAAAUGAAAA